rnacentral:rRNA from 1 species
AGAGCGAACGCUGGCGGCAUGCUUAACACAUGCAAGUCGCACGGGCACUUCGGUGUCAGUGGCGGACGGGUGAGUAACGCGUAGGUAUCUAUCCUUGGGUGGGGGACAACGGUUGGAAACGACUGCUAAUACCGCAUAAUAACUGAGGUUUAAAGGCGCAAGUCGCCUGAGGAGGAGCCUGCGUACGAUUAGCUAGUUGGUGGGGUAAAGGCCUACCAAGGCGACGAUCGUUAGCUGGUCUGAGAGGAUGAUCAGCCACAUUGGGACUGAGACACGGCCCAAACUCCUACGGGAGGCAGCAGUGGGGAAUAUUGGACAAUGGGCGAAAGCCUGAUCCAGCAAUGCCGCGUGUGUGAAGAAGGUCUUCGGAUUGUAAAAGCACUUUCGACAGGGACGAUGAUGACGGUACCUGUAGAAGAAGCCCCGGCUAACUUCGUGCCAGCAGCCGC